ACGCUCAUCCUAAAAAAAAAAAAUAAGAGUUUUAAUACCCAAUUAAAGGGCAAAAUCCCUAAAACUAACAGAGUGACUUCCAAAAAAAACCAAAAUUUCCUUCAAUACUCCCGCAAAACUAAAGUGGAACAACCUUCCGACGCAGAUCUGCACCGCCGCUCCAUUGCACCGCCUUCCGAUUGCUUCCUAGCCUUCGUUGAACGCCGUCUGUACCACCGUUGCCUUCAAUUCCGAUAUCGGUUGUGAUGUUUAUCAGAUGAUCUGCAGUUGGGUUUUUUGUCCUGCAGAUAUGUUGGUGUUGUCAUGUUGUCUGCCUUAUAUGUUGCAGUCUAGUUAAAUUAGGAGGGGGCGUGCACCAAAUUAGCCGUAGCUGAGUUCUUACCAUUACGGUUUCCAUGAGGAUGGUUUGAAGAUCUUUCUUUCAAACCUAUAUUAUCCUUCCAUGUCAAUGGAAGAUAAAAAGAGGUUUUGUUCUUUCGCACUUGAUUGUGUCACCAGGCCUACGUGUUUUUGUAAUUAGCUGGACCUCUAUACUGAAGUGUUCUUGUUUGCCUUUUUUCUUUUGCAUAUAUGUAAUCAAUAAUGCGUGCAGCAGACCAAAUAGAAGGGCACUGCUUCCCAUUGAGCCUUUCUGAUGGCCCUAGCUAUGAAAUUCAACCCUAGAGAAUAUGAUUUGUCGCAAUAUUUUACCAAAGCUCCCACGUAUUCUCAAACUGCUAUUGACGAGCUAAGGGAGAGGUGGAUCUCAUACGUUACCGAAUAUCACUAACCAAAUAACGAUGAAGAUCAAGAUGGUGAUGACGAUGACGAUGAUCUAGUGUGACUUAAGUUAGCUCAAGGAGAUGGUUACCUCAGUUCAGUCCUGCAUUUUCGAUGUUGCUGCAGAAUUGCUCUUGCUGCAGACGUUGCUGUUGCUACAGAAUCUGUUACUGCUGUUGCUGUUUUUUUUGUUUUUUUUUUGUUUUUUUAAUAGUGAUAUUGGUUUUUUUUUGCCGUACCUUGUGUAGACCAUUUAUAUUUCACCAAUGAAUAAUAGGAUUUUUUAUUGAAUGAAUAAUAUUAUUUUGUUAUUGAAUGAAAGGAUUUUUGGAAA